ACUCCUAAUUACAGGUGAGCUGUGAACCCCUAAUUACAGGUGAGAUGUGAACUCCUAAUUACAGGUGAACUGUGAACUCCUAAUUACAGGUGAGAUGUGAACCCCUAAUUACAGGUGAGAUGUGAACCCCUAAUUACAGGUGAACUGUGAACUCCUAAUUACAGGUGAGCCGUGAACUCCUAAUUACAGGUGAACUGUGAACUCCUAAUUACAGGUGAGCUGUGAACUUCUAAUUACAGGUGAACUGUGAACUCCUAAUUACAGGUGAGCUGUGAACUCCUAAUUACAGGUGAGCUGUGAACUCCUAAUUACAGGUGAGCUGUGAACUCCUAAUUACAGGUGAGCUGUGAACUCCUAAUUACAGGUGAACUGUGAACCCCUAAUUACAGGUGAGAUGUGAACUCCUAAUUACAGGUGAGCUGUGAACCUCUAAUUACAGGUGAGAUGUGAACUACUAAUUACAGGUGAGAUGUGAACUCCUAAUUACAGGUGAGCUGUGAACUCCUAAUUACAGGUGAGAUGUGAACUCCUAAUUACAGGUGAACUGUGAACUCAUAAA